GGGAAAGUGGCUCAGUAGUAGAGCACUUGCCUUGCAUGCAUGAGGCCCUGGGUUCGAUUCCUCAGCCCA
rnacentral:tRNA from 1 species